CUUCUUCUUUUCCUUCUGAUCUCGUGAGAGGAGUUGAAUGAGUUUCUGUCAUUUCUAAAAAUAAUGCAAUUAUUAAUUCAAUGUACUUUAUUUAAUAUAGAAACAUAAAAGGAGUACAACUCUACAACUGGGAUUUCUCUAACUCUGUCAGUAGCAACACCAUGUGUUUAUAAGCACACACGAUAUCGCCUUGGAUUUUCCAGUGAAUUAUAAUUCAAAGGAACACAACACUAUUAUAUAUACUUGAAAAUAUUGAAGUAAUUUGAAAAUAAAAAGCUUAAACGUAAACAACAAAAUCAAUUGAAUCUCUGAGUAUGUUGAAAAACCUAGCCUUUAUGUGGUUCUAGGUUGGCCAAAGGACCAUGUGAUGAUUCGAGCCUCUAUUGAUACACUAAGAUGUUUAAGAAUAGUGGACUGUAUAACUUACUUACAAAACGCGAACAAAAGCAAUUUGGUGUUAAUUGCACAACGUGUGUAUUUCAACAGAACAUGUAAAAAGGGGGAAACGUAUUUUUCCCUUAAGGCCUUAGACCAAGUAGCGAAAGCGACCGUUAGCCUGAGGAAAAAGAAGGGUGCAGUACUACAAUUUUUUCCCGCAAGAUAUCGCUUUUAAUUUUCCUGCCACCGACCCUCACAAAUAUAAAUCAACCUUCAGUUAAGUUCUUAUUGCGGUAAAGUUUGAAUUACUUGAAUUUAAAUAUAGUAAUAUGGAUGAUCAUUACCUACGAAAUCUCUAAAAUUCACCUUUUUUCAUUUAGUUACUCAAGGUUAUUGUGUAUUAUUACUGUUGUAAUGCUUUGGACCUCAUGUAAUGUCAUUAAUUACAUGUUUGAGAAUGGCAAUAAUUAAAAAAGUAUAGUUCUGGACAGCAGCAAGUCACCAAAAGUCCUUAUUUCUUCGCCAAACACGAGAUGGAUAAGUAUUUACAAAAUUACUUCAUUCUCGUCAUUUGGGAUUCAAGAUGUUAAAUUUUUCUCCGAGACAGACUUUCGUGAGAGGAAGAUGAAAAACACCAAAUUGAACCCAUAUUUAUUGAAAUGACCUUUCUGACUCCAGGAUCACUAGGACGUAGUUUUGCAUAAUACGAGGGAUUUACCAAAGAAUAUACUAGUCACUACAAUAUAUAUCUACAAUAUCUUUAUUAUGAAGUACGCUGAAGAAGAGUUAUCACUAUCAGCAUAAGCGUACGGAAAUAUGGGAUAUAUCAUAUAAUAUAGGAGCUUAUUUUUUUACCAAAGAAAAUGAAAUGAACUGAUAUCAUACUAUAAGAAUAUCGUAGAUGAUUUGGAUCCAGAGUGGCCAGCUAUAGUUUUUCUCUUAUAAAAAAAUCUUGUCUUCCUGAUUUUCUUGUGCAAAUCCAUGUAUAAUAUUAAUAUAACAAUAAAUACUUAAUAUUUCAUGCUAAUUGAUAUUAUUUCCAUAUUUUGACUUCAAAAAGUAAAAAUACUUUAGCACAUAAACCAAAGUAAUUCAUUACCUUAAAAUUUGAUAUUCAAAUUUUGAAUUUAAAUUAACUGACAUGAUCAAACUAAAUAUGUAAAUACUAAAUAGUGAUGCAUGAGAUAUCCAACCUAAUAAAAACUAAAUGAAAA
rnacentral:lncRNA from 1 species